GUGGGGAAUUUUGGACAAUGGGCGCAAGCCUGAUCCAGCCAUGCCGCGUGCAGGAUGAAGGCCUUCGGGUUGUAAACUGCUUUUGUACGGAACGAAAAGGUGCCUUCUAAUAAAGGGCGCUCAUGACGGUACCGUAAGAAUAAGCACCGGCUAACUACGUGCCAGCAGCCGCGGUAAUACGUAGGGUGCGAGCGUUAAUCGGAAUUACUGGGCGUAAAGCGUGCGCAGGCGGUUUUGUAAGACAGAGGUGAAAUCCCCGGGCUCAACCUGGGAACUGCCUUUGUGACUGCAAGGCUGGAGUGCGGCAGAGGGGGAUGGAAUUCCGCGUGUAGCAGUGAAAUGCGUAGAUAUGCGGAGGAACACCGAUGGCGAAGGCAAUCCCCUGGGCCUGCACUGACGCUCAUGCACGAAAGCGUGGGGAGCAAACAGGAUUAGAUACCCUGGUAGUCC
rnacentral:rRNA from 1 species